UGGCCUGACACCAUUGCCUAC
rnacentral:misc_RNA from 1 species